GACAGAGGGUGCAAACGUUGUUCGGAAUUACUGGGCGUAAAGCGCGUGUAGGCGGCUAAGUAAGUCGGGCGUGAAAUCCCACGGCUCAACCGUGGAAGUGCACUCGAAACUGCAUAGCUAGAGUCCUGGAGAGGAAGGUGGAAUGCUUGGUGUAGAGGUGAAAUUCGUAGAUAUCAAGCGGAACACCGGUGGCGAAGGCGGGUCUCUGGGCCGUAACUGACGCUGAGGAGCGAAAGCGUGGGGAGCGAACAGGG
rnacentral:rRNA from 1 species